rnacentral:rRNA from 2 species
UUUGGUCGCCAACGAGUGGCGGACGGGUGAGUAACACGUAGGUAACCUGCCCAGAAGCGGGGGACAACAUUUGGAAACAGAUGCUAAUACCGCAUAACAGCGUUGUUCGCAUGAACAACGCUUAAAAGAUGGCUUCUCGCUAUCACUUCUGGAUGGACCUGCGGUGCAUUAGCUUGUUGGUGGGGUAACGGCCUACCAAGGCGAUGAUGCAUAGCCGAGUUGAGAGACUGAUCGGCCACAAUGGGACUGAGACACGGCCCAUACUCCUACGGGAGGCAGCAGUAGGGAAUCUUCCACAAUGGGCGCAAGCCUGAUGGAGCAACACCGCGUGAGUGAAGAAGGGUUUCGGCUCGUAAAGCUCUGUUGUUAAAGAAGAACACGUAUGAGAGUAACUGUUCAUACGUUGACGGUAUUUAACCAGAAAGUCACGGCUAACUACGUGCCAGCAGCCGCGGUAAUACGUAGGUGGCAAGCGUUAUCCGGAUUUAUUGGGCGUAAAGAGAGUGCAGGCGGUUUUCUAAGUCUGAUGUGAAAGCCUUCGGCUUAACCGGAGAAGUGCAUCGGAAACUGGAUAACUUGAGUGCAGAAGAGGGUAGUGGAACUCCAUGUGUAGCGGUGGAAUGCGUAGAUAUAUGGAAGAACACCAGUGGCGAAGGCGGCUACCUGGUCUGCAACUGACGCUGAGACUCGAAAGCAUGGGUAGCGAACAGGAUUAGAUACCCUGGUAGUCCAUGCCGUAAACGAUGAGUGCUAGGUGUUGGAGGGUUUCCGCCCUUCAGUGCCGGAGCUAACGCAUUAAGCACUCCGCCUGGGGAGUACGACCGCAAGGUUGAAACUCAAAGGAAUUGACGGGGGCCCGCACAAGCGGUGGAGCAUGUGGUUUAAUUCGAAGCUACGCGAAGAACCUUACCAGGUCUUGACAUCUUGCGCCAACCCUAGAGAUAGGGCGUUUCCUUCGGGAACGCAAUGACAGGUGGUGCAUGGUCGUCGUCAGCUCGUGUCGUGAGAUGUUGGGUUAAGUCCCGCAACGAGCGCAACCCUUGUUACUAGUUGCCAGCAUUAAGUUGGGCACUCUAGUGAGACUGCCGGUGACAAACCGGAGGAAGGUGGGGACGACGUCAGAUCAUCAUGCCCCUUAUGACCUGGGCUACACACGUGCUACAAUGGACGGUACAACGAGUCGCGAACUCGCGAGGGCAAGCAAAUCUCUUAAAACCGUUCUCAGUUCGGACUGCAGGCUGCAACUCGCCUGCACGAAGUCGGAAUCGCUAGUAAUCGCGGAUCAGCAUGCCGCGGUGAAUACGUUCCCGGGCCUUGUACACACCGCCCGUCACACCAUGAGAGUUUGUAACACCCAAAGUCGGUGGGGUAACCUUUUAGGAGCCAGCCGCCUAAGGUG